rnacentral:lncRNA from 7 species
AUGACUUCCACUGCUGCUCUACACUUGUAUUAUAUUGCAAGAAAUUAUUUGUCAUUUUUUUUUAAAUUGCUUUUUCUCCCUUUUUCAGAAAACCACAACUGGCUCUGGAUUCUUUAUCUCUUUUGCCUCAUUUUUGUAUUAGAGGAGAUCCAGGCACGAGGAAGAUCAAGGAAGGGUGCAGAGAAAGGGACCCUGAAGAAGGAGAUGGGAAAGCUCCAUUCAAAGUCUGAAAAUCUGGAGAAGAAGAACGGUGAGUGGGACAGUACCGUGGCAAGGCAUUCCUUCCACCAAUAUGCAGGUUUAUUUGUCAUGGUGUUGUGCUGGUGGUGAGAUGUGCACGUAGGAGUGUUUGGAAGAGCUGAGAGUGCAGGAGGGGCUGUGGAGGGAAGACAGAGCUGGGGAGCAUGGAGAUGGAGGGCCUGAGCCGUCCUUAAUGGUGCUGGUGAAGCGGAGUCUGGUGCUGGUGGCACCAAGGCAAGCCAGGUGUGGGGCGUCGUGAGUGGUGGUGUGUCAGGGCAUGAAGACAAGUCUCUCCAGAGAAGGCUUUUGCUAGAGGCAUGGGUGGGAAUUCCCGUGUGCUCUUGUUUCUUGGGCCUGACUUGUUGUCUUCUUUUGUGGUGGCUGUGGUGACUGUGCAGAGGAGCUCCGUGCCAAGUCUGGUGAGUCCUUGUGCUUGCCCUCGGUCAUUUGCUACUGAGGGCCUCCCAUCCCAUUCCGCAAGCCUGUGUGGGCUCUGGCAUUGUAAGUAAGCUGUUGCCCCCUUCCUCCUUGUCUUGUUGCAGAAAAUCUGGAGAAGAUGAACGGUGAGUGGGACAGUACCAUGGCAAGGCAUUCCUUCCACCAAUAUGCAGGUUUAUUUGUCAUGGUGUUGUGCUGGUGGUGAGACGUGCAGUAGGAGUGUUUGGAAGAGCUGAGAGUGCAGGAGGGGCUGUGGAGGGAAGACAGAGCUGGGAGCGUUGUGAUGGAGAGCCUGGGCCCUGAGCUGCCCUUUAUGCUGUCAGGGAAGUGGAGGCAGGUGUUGGUGGCCGUGAUCCAAUCCAAGUGGAGGGGGACGUGUGUGUGAGUAUGUCAGGGCAUGAAGCAAGUCCUCCAGAGAAGGCCUUUGCUAGAGGCAUGGGUGGAGUUGCCAGUGGGCUGUGGCCUGGGACCUGUGUUUCUUGGGCCUGACUUGUUGUCUUCUUUGUGGUGGCUGUGGUGACUGUGCAGGAGCUCCGUGCCAAGUCUGGUGAGUCUUGUGCUUGCCCUCGUCAUUUGCACUGAGGGCCUCCCAUCCCAUUCCGCAAGCCUGUGUGGGCUCUGGCAUUGUAAGUAAGCUGUUGCCCCCUUCCUCCUUGUCUUGUUGCAGAAAAUCUGGAGAAGAUGAACGGUGAGUGGGACAGUACCAUGGCAAGCAUCCUUCCACCAAUAUGCAGGUUUAUUUGUCAUGGUGUUUGCUGGUGUGAGAGUGCAGUAGGAGUGUUUGGAAGAGCUGAGAGUGCAGGAGGGGCUGUGGAGGGAAGACAGAGCUGGGGAGCUUGGAUGGAGAGCUGGGCCUGAGCUCCUUUAUGCUGCGGGAAGGGAGGCGGUGU